GAUGAACGCUGGCGGCGUGCCUAAUACAUGCAAGUCGAACGAACAGAUAAGGAGCUUGCUCCUUUGACGUUAGCGGCGGACGGGUGAGUAACACGUGGAUAACCUACCUAUAAGACUGGGAUAACUUCGGGAAACCGGAGCUAAUACCGGAUAACAUAUUGAACCGCAUGGUUCAAUAGUGAAAGGCGGCUUUGCUGUCACUUAUAGAUGGAUCCGCGCCGUAUUAGCUAGUUGGUAAGGUAACGGCUUACCAAGGCAACGAUACGUAGCCGACCUGAGAGGGUGGUCGGCCACACUGGAACUGAGACACGGUCCAGACUCCUACGGGAGGCAGCAGUAGGGAAUCUUCCGCAAUGGGCGAAAGCCUGACGGAGCAACGCCGCGUGAGUGAUGAAGGUCUUCGGAUCGUAAAACUCUGUUAUCAGGGAAGAACAAAUGUGUAAGUAACUGUGCACAUCUUGACGGUACCUGAUCAGAAAGCCACGGCUAACUACGUG
rnacentral:rRNA from 1 species